rnacentral:rRNA from 1 species
UACAGAGGGGGCAAGCGUUAUUCGGAAUUAUUGGGCGUAAAGGGCGCGUAGGCGGCUUUUUAAGUCAGGGGUGAAAUCCUGGAGCUCAACUCCAGAACUGCCUUUGAUACUGGGAAGCUCGAGUCCGGGAGAGGUGAGUGGAACUCCGAGUGUAGAGGUGAAAUUCGUAGAUAUUCGGAAGAACACCAGUGGCGAAGGCGGCUCACUGGCCCGGUACUGACGCUGAGGUGCGAAAGCGUGGGGAGCAAACAGG